CUUUCUGUCAGUGUGACGCGUAAUUCAGCACAGUGGAUCGUUUCGAGUCGUGAUCUGACAGCUGUUAGUUCUUUCAUCUUACUCUCUUCUGCUACUACCUUUCCUCUGCUCGGGCGUGUGAUGCUCCUUUAACAGAGUUUCACUAAUGAAACUUUGUCCUGAGGGAGGAGAGCUUGCACAGCAGGGCCGUGGAGCAGCUACCUGAUGCCACCUGUGUGUGCUCUGCCCGCAUGUCCCUUUGCUAGAUACCAAGUGGUGUAGUGGCUCAUGACCACAGCACUUAAAGAAUCAUAGAAUUGCUCAGGUUGGAAAAGACCUUAAAGAUCAUCGAGGCCAACCACAGCCUAACCAUACUACCCUAACUAACAACCCUCCACUACAUCAUGUCCCUGAGCACCACAUCCAAACGGUUUUCAAACACAUCCAGGGAUGGUGACUCAACCACCUCCCUGGGGAGCCUACUCACUUAGCAGGUCAGAGGACUGCACCUUUUGGUCUCGCAUCAUUCUGCAUCUCUUGAGUGUUAGUUUUGGUUGGUGGUUCUCCGUGUUACUCUGAUCGAAAGGCAGAGUAGGAAGCCCUGCAUGCUCUGCUUGCUCUGGUACCCAUCUCUUUUUAAACUGUGCCCAAACUAACACUUUCAAGCUUCAGUUACUGAGGUAUGAAAGAACAGCCAGGGCUGAACGUCACACCCAGAGCAGUGUGUCGUGCAGAUAAGUAGCAGUGUUACCAUUCUGCUGCUGCCUCUUCAGUGCCUUCAUGUGUUGUUUCCUCUAGUAGAAUGAGAUGCUUGCACUGAAGAUCAUCCUCUUUUUUAAUCAGGUAAACCCUUCAAUGAGCAAGGCAUUAAUUGUUCCUUCCAGUGUCUGUGGUUAUGUAUAUGUCAGUUUUGGCAUUUUGUUGCUCAGCUGCUUUGUUCUGGAUGGCAGAACAUACUUUAUUCUUACUACUAUUAUUAUUGCUGCUGCUGUUAUUAUCAGAGGGGCAGUGCUGAGCCCCCUGAGCUCUCUGUGAUAGCGACAGGGCCCGAGGGAAUGGCACAGAGCUGUCAGGGGAGGAGCAGCUGGGGGUUAGGAAAGCGUUCUUCACCAGAGGGCGGUGGGCAUGGAAUGGGCUGCCCGGGGCAGUGGGCAUGACUCCAAGCUGCCAGAGUUCAAAGGGUGUUUGGACACUGCUCUCAGCCAUGUGGUCUGAUUGCUGGGUGAUCCUAUGUGAAGCUAGACUCGAUGGUCCUUGUUGGUUCCUUACAACUCAGAAUAUACUAUGAUUCUAUAUUAUAUUUUUUAUUUUUUUCCAGUUGCUAGGCCUGUCUGUAGAGCUCUAAGACUAUUACUUUGGUUGGUACAGCUGAGAGGAAUGCUGCUGCUGGGAGUCUGCAGGCCAGGAAACACACUGGGAAUAAACAUGAAGUCAAGUGGAGCAAUGGCUCUUGCUAUGGUGUCCUUCCUAUAGAAGCCCCUCAUUGUGCUGCACCUUUGCAGCAUGUGAUCUUACCACAAGAAUUCCAUUUUUUCCAUCCUUCAAAGAGAAGGCAACUGAUGUCAUCUAACUGGACUUCUGCAAGGCCGUCAACAAGGUCCUCCCACCAACCCCCCCAUCCUUAUCUCUAAAUUGGAAGUUGAUUUGAAGAGUGGACUACUUGAUGAAUAAGGAAUUGGUUGGAAGGUCGCAGUCCAGGGGAUUGUGGUCAAUGGCUCUGUUUCCAGGUUGAGGCUGGUAAUGAGCAGUGUCCCCCAGGGGUACAUCUUGGGUCUGAUACUCUUUGACAUCGUUAUUAGUGACAUAGAGAUGUAGAUUAGAUGUCAGGAGGAAGUUCUUCACCACCCUUACUGUAAAAAUCUUCUGCCUUAUAUCCCAUCUUUUAUUUUGGAACCGUUUCCCUGUGUCCUGCUGUAACAGACCCCACUAAAGAGUCUGUCCCCUACUUCCUUAUAGCCUCCCUUUAGAUACUGAAAGGCCGCCAUCACGUCUUCCUGGAGCUUUCUCUUCCCCACGCUGAACAGCCCCAGCUUUCUCAGCCUGUCAGCGAAGCCAAGGCAGUCAAGGGAAAGUGUUGCAUCCUUUGGAUCAUUUUUGUGGCCUUCCUCUGCAUGCACUCCAACAGGUCCACAUCUGUCCUGUACUGAACUCCGCAUCUGGAUGCAGUAUUCCAGGUGAGGUCUCACCAGUGCGGAGUAGAGAUGCAGGAUCACCUCCCUCGACCUGCUCAUCAUGCUUCUUUUGAUGCAGCCCAUGGCGUAGCUAGCUUUCCGGGCUGCUGGAGCACCCACUUCAUUUGAACCACUUUCUUCUUUGCAGUUUGAUGCUGAAGUUGUAAGGAGCCUGCUUUCUGAGAUUUACUUGGGCUAUUGCAGUGCUUCUUCCAUUGAGUAAGUUAGAAGCUCAGAGGAGAGAGAUCAGCCCAGAAAUUGUAUAUGCUCUGGGAAUUAAAUCUGCAGCACUGUUAAAUCUGAUUUUAAGCUUUUUGGUGCUGCUGUUGUCCCUUUGAAAGAGGUCCAAAGAAUAAUUUAAUAUUCUUCUGGAAUAGUGUCAUGACAUGAGAUGAAUGUUGCUCCCAGAGAGCUGGUAUUCAUUAAUACCAGCUGUCUCCUUGGUAGCAUGUGCCACGUUCCACAAGGCCUUUUUCUAAUACGGACACAGUGCAAACAACAUCAGGUACGUAUUUUUCUUCAUUAAGAUGCUGCAUGUGCUGGAGUCAUCACAGAAUGGCUUGGGUUGGAAGGGACCUUAAAAGACAAUCCAGUUCCAAUCCCCUGCCAUGAGCAGGGACACCUC
rnacentral:lncRNA from 1 species